UUGGCCAGUACCCGGUGUACGUGUGUCUUCGCGGUGGGUUCGGCGAUGCCCAGCGCGGCGGCGAGCUCGGCGUUCGACGCGCCGUGGCCGAGC
rnacentral:tRNA from 1 species